rnacentral:rRNA from 1 species
GAUGAACGCUGGCGGCGUGCCUAAUACAUGCAAGUCGAGCGAACAGACGAGGAGCUUGCUCCUCUGACGUUAGCGGCGGACGGGUGAGUACCACGUGGAUAACCACCCUAUCAGACUGGGAUAACUUCGGGAAACCGGGGCUAAUACCGAAUAAUAUAUUGAACCCCAUGGUUCAAUAGUGAAAGACGGUUUUGCUGUCACUUCAAGAUGGUUCCGCGCCGCUUUAGCUAGUUGGUAAGGUAAGGGCUUACCAAGGCAACGAUGCUUAGCCGACCUGAGAGGGUGAUCGGCCACACUGGAACUGAGACACGGUCCAGACUCCUACGGGAGGCAGCAGUAGGGAAUCUUCCGCGAUGGGCGAAAGCCUGACGGAGCAACGCCGCGUGAGUGAUGAAGGUCUUCGGAUCGGAAAACUCUGUUAUUAGGGAAGAACAAAUGUGUAAGUAACUAUGCACGUCUUGACGGUACCUAAUCAGAAAGCCACGGCUAACUACGUG